AUCGAACGCUGGCGGCAGGCCUAACACAUGCAAGUCGAGCGGAUGAAGGGUGCUUGCUUCUGGAUUCAGCGGCGGACGCGUGAGUAAUGCCUAUGAAUCUGCCUGGUUGUGGGGGGUAACGUCCGGAAACGGGCGCUACUACCGCAUACGUCCUGCGGGAGCAAGUGGGGGAUCUUCGGACCUCACGCUAUGAGAUGAGCGUAGGUCGGAUUAGCUAGUUGGUGGGGUAAAGGCCUACCAAGGCGACGAUCCGUAACUGGUCUGAGAGGAUGAUCGGUCACACUGGAACUGGGACACGGUCCAGACUCCUACGGGAGGCAGCAGUGGGGAAUAUGGGACAAUGGGCGAAAGCCUGAUCCAGCCAUGCCGCGUGUGUGAAGAAGGUCUUCGGAUUGUAAAGCACUUUAAGUUGGGGGGAAGGGCAGUAAGUUAAUACCUUGCUGGUUUGACGUUACCAACAGAAUAAGCACCGGCUAACUUCGUG
rnacentral:rRNA from 1 species